GCUAGUUCAGUUCCCACUGCUGGUCUUAGGAGGUGUUAAGGGGAGGUGCUGAGGAGGAGGUCUGGGAGAAGGUCUGCAGGUAGCCUGAACCGGACCGGUAGCAACUAAAUUGCUGGCUCAAUCCCCGGGCAGAGCUGCUCAAGUCAGGCCAGUGAUGUUUGAUGAUGUUAUUUUUGUUUGCAAAGUUUUAAGCUUGAAUAAAAUAAUGAAUUAAAAAAGCAA